GAUGAACGCUGGCGGCGUGCCUAAUACAUGCAAGUCGAGCGAACGGACGAGAAGCUUGCUUCUCUGAUGUUAGCGGCGGACGGGUGAGUAACACGUGGAUAACCUACCUAUAAGACUGGGAUAACUUCGGGAAACCGGAGCUAAUACCGGAUAAUAUUUUGAACCGCAUGGUUCAAAAGUGAAAGACGGUCUUGCUGUCACUUAUAGAUGGAUCCGCGCUGCAUUAGCUAGUUGGUAAGGUAACGGCUUACCAAGGCAACGAUGCAUAGCCGACCUGAGAGGAUUAUCGGCCACACUGGAACUGAGACACGGUCCAGACUCCUACGGGAGGCAGCAGUGGGGAAUCUUCCGCAAUGGGCGAAAGCCUGACGGAGCAACGCCGCGUGAGUGAUGAAGGUCUUCGGAUCGUAAAGCUCUGUUAUUAGGGAAGAACAUAUGUGUAAGUAACUGUGCACAUCUUGACGGUACCUAAUCAGAAAGCCACGGCUAACUACGUG
rnacentral:rRNA from 1 species